UGUGAGUGUGUGUGUUUGUUCCUUUUGAAGUGCACAGCAUGUUAAAUUCGUAAAAUUCAUUAAGAUUCCGUUGCCGAUGCCAACCAGCGACUGGCAACAACGACAACGUUGCUGAUGUCGAAAAGUGCCAAGAGCAGAGCCAACAAGCGGCAACCGAACGACCCACAAGACCAGAGAUGCCAGCAGCAACAGCAACAGCAACACCAACAGCAAAAGCUAUAAGUUUGUUUGCUUUUGUUGUUGCUUCUUCUGGAUGGUCGUGCUUCGUAAAAAGCAUUUGAAACAAACUCAAUUAUGCCCGGUGCAGUGCACACAGCCAACAACCAACAACCGACAUUCAGCAUCCAACUAUGGAGGAGUCUUUUCUGCCUCCUCUGGGCGCCCCUUCUUUUCGGUUUCAGUUUGCACUUCACGUGGAAGCACGCGGCUCGGAAAUCUCUGAAUUAAAUCUGCCCAGAAAUACAUUAUUCGAAGCGAUAGCGAAGCGAACGGAACGGCCUAAAACCCUCGGCCAGAUUGAAAAUUGGACUCCCUAGCAAUUCCUUCUCUCUGCUUUCAACUGCCUGGCUGUGUAAUUCCAUUUGACAUUCAAUUUUACCUGCUAACAAGCAUUUCCUGGCCACAACCGAGGCGAACUGAACUAAACUGGAUUGAAAAGGAGAGAUACGGCCAAAGGAGGGACUCGUACCUCGAACCUCGGACCUGGGCUAUUCCCCGGUGAUUUCUAGCGCAUCUCAUAAAUUCCAAUUCGUUUGAUUUAUAAAAAUGAACAACGCCCCGAAAAAAUAAGCGAGGAAGCCUAAUAAAUAUUCAUGUUCGCCUCGAACCGGCAAACUAUUGAUUAAAAAAAAAAUAAAA